rnacentral:lncRNA from 1 species
UGGCCAAUCCUCUCCUGCGCAGCUGACAGUUCCACCCUGAGAGAGCUGAUCUUGGCAGCUUGAGCCCAAAUUCGAUCACUGGCACUCUUCUUGUGUUCCUCAAGUUCCUUCGCGAAGUCUGCCUUCCUCCGGCUGUACUCCAUGAUCCCCUUCACGUGGAGAUUUCGAAAGUGGGUGUCCUUCGAGGUGGCUUCAGAGUAACCCUCCCUUAACCUGCGAAGCUCGCCUUCCAUCUUCUUUGACCUUUUUGUCGCAUGAAGAACCUCCUUCUUCAGUCGCUGGAUCGUGGACUUCAGCAGGAUCCCCUGGGGCAGGGGAAGUGCCUUGGCAGGAUACUACCAUCGAGAGACAGAAGCGUCAAGGUGCGUCUCAUUGCAGAAAGAAAAAUAAAAAGGGGGGAAGGGUGAGAAGAGAAGCCAUCCACGGUAAGAAAUUCAACUUUAUUGAUUGAAUGAUUCUUGAAGACAAAAAGGAAAAGAAAAAUUACAGUAAAAGAAAGAUACAAGGUCGGAGGUCUCAGACCUCAGAAGCAGGAGUUGGAGAGCUCGGUGUUCCUGGGGGGGCUGCGGCAGCAGUAGCGACAGGAGAAGGACCGGCCUCAUCCUCAGACUCCUCGCCCA